rnacentral:lncRNA from 1 species
UUUCUGUUGUCCUUAGCAACCAUGUUGUGAUGAAUCACUAAAGAAACUUCGUAUGUACCUCUUAUGCCCCCCAAAUAAUUUUAGAGUACGGAACAAUUUUAUAGUUCGUAUGGGCCUUUCUGAAAUUAAACUGACAAGAGGAAAGCAUGAACUGACAUAAGAAAUAUGAACAGGAGAAUUUAACACAGCAUCAGACCUCUCCUGAAGAAAUAGGGUAACAAAGCCCCAGGGUUUGAUAUGACGUCGAGCAAAGAUAGGUGUUUCAGAAGGCAAGUUUGACGCUGUUCCUUUCAUUGGUCAGCUGGAGAAUCGAAAAGCUGUUCAUCCUAAAGGAAGCCAACCAUACUAUGUUUACAGAGUCAAUACAUCAUGUAUGCCAAUGAGCAGAAGUGAAGCAUGCUUCUUCCACACAUUGUUUGACAUGAAAAGUGAAUAGAAUCAGCACUCCAUGGCUCUUUCAGAAAAUACCCACUUAACUCUCAAGAAUAGCCCUAUAAAAGGACGCUUAUCAAACUCUCUAGAAUAAAAUCAGUUCUAAAUAUGAAGAGUUGGCCAUUCUGUGGGCAUUUUUUCAACCCGUUGACUUAAUGGACUUAAUAUCAUCGCCAUCAUUAUUACUUAAAAUAAACGGAAUAAAGGUCUGUGUGGCCAGAAGGGAAGAAAGAAGAAAUGGAGAGGAAGCAUUUGACCAAAAAAAAAAAAAAAAA